CAAGGAAUUUUCCGCAAUGGGGGCAACCCUGACGGAGCAACGCCGCGUGCGGGACGACGCCUUUUGGGGUGUAAACCGCUUUUGCCGAGGACGAGAACGGACGGUACUCGGCGAAUAAGGACCGGCUAACUACGUGCCAGCAGCCGCGGUAAUACGUAGGGUCCGAGCGUUGUCCGGAGUGACUGGGCGUAAAGCGCGCGCAGGCGGCCUGUUAGGCACGACGUGAAAGCCCGGAC
rnacentral:rRNA from 1 species